UACAGAGACCUCAAGCGUUAUCUGGAAUCAUUGGGCGUAAAGCGUACCGAUAGGUGGUUUUACAAGUCAGAAGUGAAAUCUCUCAGCUUAACUGGGAGACUGUCUUUUGAAACUGUAAAACUAGAGGGGCAAAGAGGAAGCUGGAACGAACGGUGUAGUAGUGAAAUGCGUUGAUAUCGUUCGGAACACCAAUAGCGUAGGCAGGCUUCUGGGUGCCACCUGACACUGCUAGGACGAGAGCGUGGGGAGCGAAUGGG
rnacentral:rRNA from 1 species